rnacentral:rRNA from 1 species
AAACCAAUAAAGUUUUCUUUAUUGGGGUUGAGGACAUACCACAUAUAAGAGGUCAUUAUAGACGAAGAAGUUUGGAAAAACUCAUCAUAGAAGGUAAUAAUCCUGUAGUCAAAAUAAUAAUUCUUUAGGUAUGAUCCAGAGUACCACGGGACACGUGAAACCCUGUGGGAAGCAGGAGGGACCACCCUCCAAGGCUAAAUACUACCUAGUGACCGAUAGCGUAUAGUACCGUGAGGGAAAGGUGAAAAGAACCCCG